rnacentral:rRNA from 1 species
GACGAACGCUGGCGGCGUGCCUAACACAUGCAAGUGGAGCGACGAACCAGGCUUCGGCCUGGGGCAAAGCCGCGAACGGGUGAGUAACACGUGGGUAACCUGCCCCGAUGAUUGGGACAACCCGAGGAAACUCGGGCUAAUACCGAAUGUGCCCUACAGCCAUAAGGCUGCCGGGGAAAGGAAGCUUCGGCCUCCGCAUCGGGAUGGGCCCGCGGCCCAUUAGCUUGUUGGUGAGGUAACGGCUCACCAAGGCUACGAUGGGUAGCUGGUCUGAGAGGACGAUCAGCCACACUGGGACUGAGACACGGCCCAGACUCCUACGGGAGGCAGCAGUGGGGAAUCUUGCGCAAUGCGCGAAAGCGUGACGCAGCAACGCCGCGUGGGCGAAGAAGGCCUUCGGGUUGUAAAGCCCUUUCAGUUGGGACGAAGCUUUACCGGUGAAUAGCCGGUUGGAGUGACGGUACCUUCAGAAGAAGCCCCGGCUAACUACGUGCCAGCCGCCGCCGUAAUAC